GCCGGUGUAGCUCAGCUGGUAGAGCACGUCAUUCGUAAUGAUGGGGUCGUAGGUUCCCUAUCACCGGCACCA
rnacentral:tRNA from 1 species